GGCCACCUCAUACAUUAACUUCAGAAGCUCUAUCAAAGUAGUUCGAUCCGAGUUUUUAGCACCUUUGUCCUCCCGACAGGCGAAGUGUCUCUUGAGUGAGUCUAAUGCUAGAAGAGGUUGCCCUCUGUUUGGGGCUUCUACUCUCUGCCACUCCUUACUUUCUGAACUAUUUCCCCAAUCUCCCUAAUAAGGUUGCUAGUCGAUUCUUCUGAUUCCCUGUAAACCUGAGCACUAAUGUUGUUAAUGUAUCCACCAUGAUGGAGAACAGAACUAGGGGAAGCAUCAAAGAUCAGAUCAAGUUGCUCUUUUGUCCGAUUGCUCUAAUACCAUUUCCUAAUGAGUUAGAGUUUGCACAACCAGGCAUUGCUCCUUUUGUAGCAAGUUAUUUGAAAAUGAAACUGAUUCCAUCAUCCCCAUGGUCUUGGCAGGUAGGUCUUUUGACCCAAGUAUCACCAUUUGGGACCUUGUUGCAAGCUGGUGCUCCAGACUAGUGGUUAUGAACACAUCAUCGUGAUGCUCCCAAUUUUUCCACAGGUGAGACUUCUUCUGCAAAGGGCGAACGAUACCCUGACGAUCUUGAUGAGCAUCGGAGUUUGGAUGAGCUAAUGGCGUUUGAAGGGGUUAUUAAC
rnacentral:lncRNA from 1 species